rnacentral:rRNA from 1 species
UCGCAAGGCUGAAACUCAAAGGAAUUGACGGGGGCCCGCACAAGCGGUGGAGCAUGUGGUUUAAUUCGAUGCAACGCGAAGAACCUUACCAAGGCUUGACAUACUACAGAUUUCUUUGAAAAAGGAAAGUGCCUUCGGGAAUGUAGAUACAGGUGGUGCAUGGCUGUCGUCAGCUCGUGUCGUGAGAUGUUGGGUUAAGUCCCGCAACGAGCGCAACCCUUAUUUUUAGUUGCUAAUUUAGUUUAGGUUUUCUAGAAAGACUGCCGGUGACAAACCGGAGGAAGGUGAGGAUGACGUCAAGUCAGCAUGCCCCUUAUGCCUUGGGCUACACACGUGCUACAAUGGUUAAGACAAAGAGUUGCGAGCUCGUGAGAGUCAGCUAAUCUCAUAAACUUAGCCUAAGUUCGGAUUGUAGGCUGCAACUCGCCUGCAUGAAGUCGGAAUCGCUAGUAAUCGCUGGUCAGCCAUACAGCGGUGAAUCCGUUCCCGGGCCUUGUACACACCGCCCGUCAAACCAUGGGAGCUGGUCAUGCCCGAAACCGUUAGCUUAACCUUUAUGGAGAGCGGCGUCUAAGGUAGGGUUAGUGACUGGGGUG